UACGGAGGAUGCGAGCGUUAUCCGGGUUUAUUGGGUUUAAAGGGUGCGUAGGUGGGGAAUUAAGUCAGUGGUGAAAGCUUGUCGCUCAACGAUAAAAUUGCCAUUGAAACUGGUUUUCUUGAGUAUGUUUGAGGUAUGCGGAAUGCGUGGUGUAGCGGUGAAAUGCAUAGAUACCACGCAGAACUCCGAUUGCGAAGGCAGCAUACUAAACCAUAACUGACACUGAAGCACGAAAGCGUGGGUAUCAAACAGG
rnacentral:rRNA from 1 species